ensembl:lincRNA
AAAAAAAAAAAAAAAAUUGUUGAAUGAACAUGAUUUAAUCGUGGCACCCUUUAUGCAUCUAAUCCAAUCAAGUAAACCUGAACUGCUUUGAACAUGUUGUAUGAACACAAAGCACAUUUGUAGAUAAAACAUGGUUUCAAUA